rnacentral:rRNA from 1 species
UGCGAAUGGGCGAAAGCCUGACGCAGCGACGCCGCGUGGGGGAUGAAGCUUCUCGGAGUGUAAACCCCUUUCGACCGGGACGAAUGCCCGCAAGGGAGUGACGGUACCGGUAGAAGAAGCCCCGGCUAACUACGUGCCAGCAGCCGCGGUAAGACGUAGGGGGCCAGCGUUGUUCGGAAUUACUGGGUGUAAAGGGUUCGUAGGCGGUGUGGCAAGUCGGGAGUGAAAUCUCUGGGCUUAACUCAGAGGCUGCUUCCGAAACUGCUGUGCUGGAGUGUGGGAGAGGCGCGUGGAAUUGCAGGUGUAGCGGUGAAAUGCGUAGAUAUCUGCAGGAACACCCGUGGCGAAAGCGGCGCGCUGGACCAUUACUGACGCUGAGGAACGAAAGCUAGGGGAGCAAACAGGAUUAGAUACCCUGGUAGUCCUAGCCCUAAACGAUCAGGACUUGGGGUGCCACCCGUUCGGGUGUCGUCCCGGAGCUAACGCGUUAAGUCCUGCACCUGGGGAGUACGGUCGCAAGACUGAAACUCAAAGGAAUUGACGGA